rnacentral:tRNA from 1 species
GGUUCAUUAGCUCAGUUGAAUAGAGCAACAGAUUUCUAAUCUGUGGGUCGUAGGUUUGAAUCCUACAUGAACCA